rnacentral:rRNA from 1 species
UACGGAGGGGAGCUAGCGUUGUUCGGAAUUACUGGGCGUAAAGCGCGCGUAGGCGGUUACUCGAAGUCAGAGGUGAAAGCCCGGGGCUCAACCCCGGAACUGCCUUUGAAACUAGGUACUAGAAUCUUGGAGAGGUCAGUGGAAUUCCGAGUGUAGAGGUGAAAUUCGUAGAUAUUCGGAAGAACACCAGUGGCGGAAGGCGACUGACUGGACAAGUAUUGACGCUGAGGUGCGAAAGCGUGGGGAGCAACAGGG